GGCAGUGUGGUGUAAUGGUAAUGAAUUGGGCUCAUAACUGAAUGGCUGUCGGUUCAAUUCCCCACUGCAG